UCAGUUCAAGUUUGGGUUUAGUUCAAGUACAAAUCAGAUACAAACAAAAUUCAUACCCAAAUUCAAAUUCGUUGAAUUUUUAUUUUUUAGGGUAAACUUCAAAUACCACCCAUGUGGUUUCGUACUUUCUCACUUUAGUAACCUGCGUUUUAAAAUAUAUCAAUUUAGUAUCAUAUGGUUUCAUUUUUCUCUUUUCAUCGGUCCUUCCGUUAACUUUUCGUUAAACUAUAUACAAAAAUAUUUAGAUACCCCACCUAUAGUUUAUCAAAUAUUCACUUUAUACAUUUUAGUGUUAACUUUGUCAUUGAUUUAACUAAAAAAAUUAGUGGAGGCCAUAAUAAAAAGAGAAAAAUAAAAACACAUGGUACGAAAGUGAUAUUUUUUAAACCACGGGGUGUUAAAGUGAGAAAGUGCAAAAUCACAGGGGUAAUAUUUGAAGCUUUUCCUAUGUUUUAUUUAUGUAUCUAAAACUAUGUUUUAUUUACUAUUGAAUAAACGCUCUCUGUAAGGAAGCAGAUUUGGAUAAAAUUUCAGGUAUUCCUGCCCAUUAACAUCCUUGACUAGGAAUGUCAACGGGUCGGAUUCGGGACAGAUUUUCAAAAAUUCGAACGCAAACCCAACUCCAGAUUCGAAACCCGAACCCGAACCCUAAUCCUAACCCGACGGAUUUUAAAAAUCCAUAUCCAAAUCCGAAUUCGACCAAAAACCAAAAACCUGAACUCAAACCCGAAACAAUUAUUUCUCAUUUCAAUAUUUUAAAAUAUAUUAUAUUAAAUCUAAAAUUUUAAAAUACAAAUUCAAAUAUAAUAUUAAAUUUUUAUAUACAUAUUAGAUAUAAUAUAAAAAUAAAUUCGAGUUUGGGUCGGGAUCGGAUUCGAGUUCGGAUCGGGUACAGUCAAAAUCCAUAUCCGUAUCCAUAUUCGUCGAAAUUUUGUUUUUGAAAUAUAUUCAUAUCCGAAAUCAUAUUCAUUUAGCAUCUUAUAAAUUUACUCUGUUCGGGUUCGGGUUCGGGUUCGAAUUUGAUUCUGAUAAAAUUUCGGAUAUCCCUGCCCAUUGUAAUCCCUGACAAAU
rnacentral:lncRNA from 1 species